UUAAACUCCGGGCGGGUCAGCUCUCCUACAAAGAAGAUCCAAUGGGAUGGCAAAGUUUGUUGGCUCAAACUGUUGCUAACAGGAACUCUGAAGCCCGGGCUUUCAAGCCAGAAACAAUCUCAGCAUUCACUUCUGAUCCAGCACUUCUGUCAUUUGCUGAAUAUUUCUGCAAGCCAACUGUGAACAUGGGUCAGAAACAGGAAAUUCUGGAUCUCUUUUCUUCAGUACUCUAUGAAUGUGUUACCCAGGAGACCCCAGAGAUGUUGCCUGCAUACAUAGCAAUGGAUCAGGCUGUAAGAAGACUUGGGAGAAGAGAAAUGUCUGAGACUUCUGAACUUUGGCAGAUAAAGUUGGUGUUAGAGUUUUUCAGCUCCCGAAGCCAUCAGGAGCGGCUGCAGAACCACCCUAAGCGGGGGCUCUUUAUGAACUCGGAAUUCCUCCCUGUUGUGAAGUGCACCAUUGAUAAUACCCUGGACCAGUGGCUACAAGUCGGGGGUGAUAUGUGUGUGCAUGCCUACCUCAGCGGGCAGCCCUUGGAGGAAUCACAGCUGAGCAUGCUGGCCUGCUUCCUCGUCUACCACUCUGUGCCAGCUCCACGGCACCUGCCACCUAUAGGACUAGAAGGGAGCACAAGCUUUGCUGAACUGCUCUUCAAAUUUAAGCAGCUAAAAAUGCCAGUGCGAGCUUUGCUGAGAUUGGCUCCUUUGCUUCUUGGAAAUCCACAGCCAAUGGUGAUGUGACCGUGUCUGGCGGUGAACCUACCCUGAAACGUGACUUCUGCACAAAAAACGUGACCAAACAUCAAAGCUAAAGCAAUGUUUAUAAAGUUUUAUGGUAUAACUAGGGGGAAAUGAGCUGCACAAACCUCAAUGUAUUUUAAAUCUGUUGCUGUCAUCAUUAACGUUAUAUGAUAUAUAAAAGCAAGUUAAAAUUUACUUUUGUAAAUAAAGUUUUUGGUUUGUUUUCAAAACUCUUGAUGAUUGCUUUAGUUUUGGACUUAGAGAAUAGAG
rnacentral:lncRNA from 1 species